rnacentral:rRNA from 1 species
UGCGCAGGCGGUUAUGUAAGUCAGAUGUGAAAUCCCCGGGCUUAACCCGGGAAUGGCAUUUGAGACUGCAUGGCUAGAGUGUGUCAGAGGGGGGUAGAAUUCCACGUGUAGCAGUGAAAUGCGUAGAGAUGUGGAGGAAUACCGAUGGCGAAGGCAGCCCCCUGGGAUAACACUGACGCUCAUGCACGAAAGCGUGGGGAGCAAACAGGAUUAGAUACCCUGGUAGUCCACGCCCUAAACGAUGUCUACUAGUUGUCGGGACUUAAUUGUCUUGGUAACGCAGCUAACGCGUGAAGUAGACCGCCUGGGGAGUACGGUCGCAAGAUUAAA